rnacentral:rRNA from 1 species
UGAGGAAUAUUGCGCAAUGGAGGCAACUCUGACGCAGCCAUGCCGCGUGCAGGAAGACGGCCCUACGGGUUGUAAACUGCUUUUAUCCGGGAAGAAACCCCUCGACGUGUCGAGGGUUGACGGUACCGGAGGAAUAAGCACCGGCUAACUUCGUGCCAGCAGCCGCGGUAAUACGAAGGGUGCAAGCGUUAUCCGGAUUCAUUGGGUUUAAAGGGUGCGUAGGCGGGGCGGUAAGUCAGUGGUGAAAUCCUGCAGCUUAACUGUAGCAUUGCCAUUGAUACUGCCGCUCUUGAGUACGCUUGACGUGGGCGGAAUGUGCCGUGUAGCGGUGAAAUGCUUAGAUAUGGCACAGAACACCGAUUGCGAAGGCAGCUCACGAAGGCGAAACUGACGCUGAGGCACGAAAGCGUGGGGAUCGAACAG